GAUGAACGCUGGCGGCGUGCCUAAUACAUGCAAGUCGAGCGAACAGACGAGGAGCUUGCUCCUCUGACGUUAGCGGCGGACGGGUGAGUAACACGUGGAUAACCUACCUAUAAGACUGUGAUAACUUCGGGAAACCGGAGCUAAUACCGGAUAAUAUAUUGAACCGCAAGGUUCAAUAGUGAAAGACGGUUUUGCUGUCACUUAUGGAUGGAUUCGCGCCGCAUUAGCUAGUUGGUAAGGUAACGGCUUACCAAGGGAACGAUGCGUAGCCGACCUGAGAGGGUGAUCGGCCACACUGGAACUGAGACACGGUCCAGACUCCUACGGGAGGCAGCAGUAGGGAAUCUUCCGCAAUGGGCGAAAGCCUGACGGAGCAACGCCGCGUGAGUGAUGAAGGUCUUCGGAUCGUAAAACUCUGUUAUUAGGGAAGAACAAAUGUGUAAGUAACUAUGCACGUCUUGACGGUACCUAAUCAGAAAGCCACGGCUAACUACGUGCCAGCCGCCGCCGUAA
rnacentral:rRNA from 1 species